AGUCGUCCCACUCGCUUCAACCGCGUCCACGACAAGUGGGGGCGACUGUGACGUCGUGGUGCAACGGCUCGCCGCGUAUGCGCCGAGUCCAGAGGUCAAAUCUUGCUUAUGCGCACCGGCCGCGCCCACGCGUUCUUACUACUUUAAUUCUUAUUUGCUUAAUUGUACUAUAUUGUUAUAUUUAAAGUCAUUAUACGUAUUUACAUGUUAUACAGUCCACUAGUAUUAUUUACUCCACCUGCUGAGCUAUCGUCGUUACAUAUGGUCCUUCUCCCAAGAAAAAUUGAACUGGACAAAGAAGACAAAGGAUUUUGGUGAACAUCGUACACGUCAUCGAGUGACUCAGUGAUUAUUAUCAAGUUUCUUCGCUGUGAACAUUGUUACGUCGUGAUAUAUCGGCACGGCUUGAGACUUUUCGGCCGUCUUAGCUGACGUCACCCAACUGACACGAGAAGAAACGGAAUUACUCAUCAUAACGGACAGCAAAUACACGUGUUCAGAUUGUCGUCGUGCAUUGAGAUAUCUGACAAGAAUACUCCUCGGCGCAGUCAUCAUCAGUGGUUUGCACCGGAAAACAGUGAGCUCGUUCCAAUUCCUUAUUUAAUCAUCUCAUCAUCUUUCCAUCAUCAUAAUCAUAUUCAUUAUCAUCCAUAUCCUACAUUUCAUUCAUUUUUUACCUCAUAAUAAUUAAAGAACGGUGUUACAUUUUUUGCAAGUCAUCUCCACAUUAUUUCAUCAUAUUUCAUCCCAUUUUACCAUUUAUUUCAACUGUUUCAUCUCUUCAUUCAUUCAUUUCACUAUAAGUUAAUCAUAUCAAUUGCAGUGUCGUUUUAUAUUUCAGCUAAAAUCUAAUAUUAUUAUCUUAUAACGUUAACAUUACGCAGCGAUUAUAAUCGCUGCGCACUGAUAAUUAUCAGUGCACAAACGCCUUGCAUUUUUUAAAUAGCAAUACACAUUCUGCUACAAUCUUGCUCGUGCACUUUAUCUUGCAACUCGUUGCUAUUAUUUUAUUAGAAGUGUUAACUUGCUGUUAGUUUAUAUAUUUCCUUAGUGCUUUAUUACAAAAAUCUAUCGCCUUCUCUUAAAAUGUCUGACAUUAAAAGCCUUAUUAAGAAACGUGCUUCAAUUAAAGCAAAGCUCACGCAAUUUUCUUCAUACUUGAACAUUUCCAAGUCAUGUGAACAGUUGAGCGAAGUCCAGAUUGUUGAGGUUGAGUAUAGACUUAAUACUAUCGAAAAUCUAUAUGAUAAAUACGACGUGUUACAGGCCGACAUGGAAGAGAUGGUGGACGACCCUAGCGAGCAAUAUGCGGAGCGUGAGGAGUUCGAAAAGCAGUACUACAGCUUGGUGGCUGCAGCACGUCAGCUGAUCAGCAAUGCUCGCAAGCAAGCUUCAGGGAACUCCAUAGCCGAGGUUGAUGUUUCUUGUUCUAAGCACACACACAAACAUAAUUCUAUUCGUUUGCCUAAAAUUGACCUUCCUAAGUUUUCCGGCAGCUAUCAUGAUUGGUUAGAGUUUAGAGACACUUUCAUUUCUAUAAUACACGAUAACGACAGCAUAGAUAACAUAAAUAAAUUACAUUAUCUUCGUGCGUCCUUAAAGGGUAGUGCUUCCUUGAUUAUUGACAAUCUUGACUUUAGAUCAGAUAACUACGACGCUGCCUGGAAGUUGCUCUGUGAUAGAUAUGAUAAUAAAAGGUUAUUAGUUAAUAACCACGUUCAAUCACUUUUUAAUGUGCAGUCCAUCAGCAAGGAAUCAAGUAACUCAUUAAGACAUAUUGUUGACACCACAAAUAAAAAUUUAAGAGCGUUAGCUACACUGGGUCAACCUGUUGAGUACUGGGACACACUGAUCAUUUAUAUAAUGACAUGUAAACUUGACCAGGUGACAAACCGAGAGUGGGAGGAGCAUAGGAAUUCAUUGUCAGAACCUCCAACAUUAGCUGUAUUUAUUGAAUUCAUUCGUAACAGGGCUGAUUUAUUAGAAACGCUUGAGGAAUCCAAGUCAUUGUUUACUAAAGGCGAAGGUGUACAUGUCAACAAUAUUAAACAAAGUAAACAUUCUUCGGGUUCUAGUGAAACUUCUCGCAGUCCUUUAUCAUGUCCAAUGUGUCAAAAAGAUCACUUCAUUUUUCAAUGCGAUAAAUUCAAAAGCUUGCCUGUACAAUCACGUAUCAGUAAAGCUCAAACUUCCAAUGUAUGUUUAAAUUGUCUUCGACCAGGUCAUAAUAUUUAUAAAUGUAAAUUGGGUCACUGUAAGUAUUGUCGUGAGAAGCACAAUACAUUGUUGCACUUUGAUCGCGAUACCGUUGUUCCUAACCAACCGACUAGUACUUUAGCGUCUAUCAAUCACCUUUCUACAUCUCGAGUUGUCUUACUUUCCACAGCGCUGGUGAAUGUGUCGGAUGCUGAAGGCAACGUUCAUACUGCACGAAUCCUGCUGGAUAACGGGAGUACGACUAACCUUAUGUCACAGGAGUUGGCUCGUAAACUUAACAUUUCCACCUAUACAGUCGAGUCUAAGGUAACAGGCAUUAAUGAUCAAUCCUCUUAUUGUACACAAGGUUGUUCGAUUUCAUUAAAGUCAGUCAAUAGUGAAUAUGACAUCGAUAUUGAUUGCUAUGUCGUGUCCAAAAUUUCAUCGUGUGUACCAAAUACAUAUAUUGAUGUGCACAAUAUAAAUGUACCUACCAAUAUAGUCCUGGCUGACCCUCAGUUUUACGUUCCAUCUUCUAUAGAUAUUCUUGUAGGUGCUGAAGUCUUUUGGAACGUUUUAGGUACUAGCCGUAUAGACUUAGGUAAAUCCAUGCCUACUUUAUUUGAGUCCAAAUUGGGAUGGCUGUUAUCAGGAGUCAUCAAGCAAUCAAAUUCUUCUUCCCAUUUAUGUUUGCUGGCUGAUACUUUGCAGGCAGACUUAAAUUGUUUUUCUAAGCCAGACUCAGUUUCAGCAAAACAUACACUCACGCGCGAAGAGCGUUCUUGUGAGGAAUUAUCUUUGAAGUCCACUUACCGUGAUGCGGAUGGACGCUUCGUAAUUAGCAUACCACUUAAGGAAUCUCCUGACAUACUAGGUGAUUCCUAUAACAUGGCUAAGCGCCGCUUAGCAUUACCCUACACAUUAGGGCUGAACUGGAGGUGCUCAUCAGAUACAUUUUCUUUCUCCAUGUCAAAUGCAACUUCCAGUAACAUUGCCACAAAACGUAAGAUUUUGUCUGUCAUUGCUCAGAUCUUUGAUUCUAUUGGCUUGGUCGUUCCUUGCAUUGUGGAAGCCAAGAUAAUCAUGCAGCAACUGUGGCUGGUAAAGUGUUCCUGGGAUGAGCCUGUUCCCGAACAUAUUCAGCAUCCAUGGGACAGCUUUCAAAAUAGCUUACCUUUUUUAAAUGAUUUUAGGAUACAUCGGUGGAUCACGUGUGAAUCAUCAUCUUCUGUGCAGUUGCAUGUGUUCACCGACGCAUCUGAAAGGGCGUAUGGUGCUUGUUUGCAUGUCCGCAGCGUAUCGCUUAGUGGUGAGGUUCAUGUAGGUACACCUUCUUACUGCUAAAAGCAAAUUAGCGCCGGUCAAAUCAACGACCAUCCCCCGACUCGAACUCUGUGCUACGUUGUUGGGUUCGAGAUUAUACAUAAAAGUACGUCAGUCACUUACACUACAUAUUGACGGCGUCUAUUUCUGGUGUGAUUCCACCAUAGUCUUGGGUUGGUUGUCCGCCUCACCCACGCAACUUAAGACCUUCGUUCGCCAUCGUGUCUCUGAAAUUCAGGAAACUGCGGAGGGUAGAACUUGGCGUUACGUUCCGUCACAAAAAAACCCCGCAGACCUCGCUUCGCGUGGACUCAGAGCAGAUAGGCUGCUUACUUCUUCACUAUGGUGGUCGGGACCACAAUUUUUACUAAAUGAUUCAUCUACUUGGCCUCAAUUUCCUGAAUCGCAUCAUACCAUUCAAAAUCUACCAGAAACAGUAACUUCUUCUUUUCACAUUAAUACCUCCAAUCAUAACGACAACAUCAUUUCUAAAUUAUUUACAACAUGUUCAGAUUUUAAUAAAAUUCAGCGUUUUACAGCAUACUUACUUAAAUUUAUUAAUUUUAAAAUUAAAAAACAAACAAUUUGUCCUGGUCCACUUACAUCUAAAGAAUUGAAUAGUGCAUUACAUAUCAUAUUAAGAUUUUGCCAACAGGAGUCGUUUCCUGAAGAGUACGAACUUCUUUCAGCAGGGAAAGACUUACCAGCAAAAAACAAAUUGUUGUCACUUUCCCCAUUCUUUGAUAAAUCUUGUAAUUUAAUUCGUGUUGGAGGCAGAUUAAGCAAUUCCUUUUAUGAUUUUAAUAUUAAACACCCUAUUCUCAUAGCAAGUAAACAUAUUAUCUGUAAAUUGUUGUUUGACAUGUAUCACCUGCGACUUUUACAUCCUGGACCUCAAUUGCUUCUUACAACCAUUCGUCACCAUUAUUAUCCCAUUGGUGGGAAAUCCUUAGCGAAAAGGGUGACUCAUCAAUGCGUGAAGUGUUGCAAAAUUAAGGCCAGUACCGUACAGCCUAUCAUGGGCAACCUUCCUGAGCAGCGUCUGCACUUAGAAUUCCCAUUUCUAGAUUCCGGUGUUGACUACGCUGGGCCCAUCAUGAUAGCUGACCGUAAGGGUAGAGGAUGCAGACUUAUCAAGUGCUUUAUAUGUGUGUUUGUGUGUUUAGCCACGAGAGCCGUCCAUCUUGAACUUGUAUCCGACUCAACAAAGGAGGCUUUUCUGGCUGCCAUGAACCGCUUUAUUGCUCGUAGGGGGAAGCCACGCAACAUCUUCUCCGACAAUGGCACGACAUUCGUUGGUGCUUUCAACGAGCUGGCUAGCCUGCUCUCACAAGACUUAGGGUCCAGAACGCUCACGUGAACAACUUGCAGCGGUUCCGUCGCAUCGAAUGUUUAAAGCAACAUUUCUGGUCACGCUUCUCACAUGAGUACAUUUUGUGGCUCCAACAACGAACCAAAUGGCUCCGAUCGUCAGGGGAACUUACAGAAGGAACCCUUGUCGUCAUUAAGGAUAAAAGCUCACCUCCUCUGUUAUGGCUUUUAGGACGGAUCGUUAAGGUGCUUCCUGGUAGAGACGGCAUUGCACGAGUCGCCGACAUCCGCACACGUAAGGGUGUCAUUCGGCGAGCGUUCAACACUAUUUGCCCGUUACCCGUCGCCACUGCUGUUGAAGACACUUCAACGGGGGGAGUAUGUUGAGUCGUCCCACUCGCUUCAACCGCGUCCACGACAAGUGGGGGCGACUGUGACGUCGUGGUGCAACGGCUCGCCGCGUAUGCGCCGAGUCCAGAGGUCAAAUCUUGCUUAUGCGCACCGGCCGCGCCCACGCGUUCUUACUACUUUAAUUCUUAUUUGCUUAAUUGUACUAUAUUGUUAUAUUUAAAGUCAUUAUACGUAUUUACAUGUUAUACA